AUGAACUAGAUUUUUCCUAUCUGAUAAAAUUGGAACGAUAUAGAAAAGAUUAGCAUGGUUGUUACGCAAUGAUGACAGAAUUGGUCCGAUCCAUGUAUUAGAUUUUA
rfam:Solanum lycopersicum cultivar Heinz 1706 chromosome 6, whole genome shotgun sequence.